CCUAUACAUGCAAGUCGAACGAACUCUGGGUAUUGAUUGGUGCUUGCAUCAUGAUUUACAUUUGAGUGAGUGGCGAACUGGUGAGUAACACGUGGGAAACCUGCCCAGAAGCGGGGGAUAACACCUGGAAACAGAUGCUAAUACCGCAUAACAACUUGGACCGCAUGGUCCGAGUUUGAAAGAUGGCUUCGGCUAUCACUUUUGGAUGGUCCCGCGGCGUAUUAGCUAGAUGGUGGGGUAACGGCUCACCAUGGCAAUGAUACGUAGCCGACCUGAGAGGGUAAUCGGCCACAUUGGGACUGAGACACGGCCCAAACUCCUACGGGAGGCAGCAGUAGGGAAUCUUCCACAAUGGACGAAAGUCUGAUGGAGCAACGCCGCGUGAGUGAAGAAGGGUUUCGGCUCGUAAAACUCUGUUGUUAAAGAAGAACAUAUCUGAGAGUAACUGUUCAGGUAUUGACGGUAUUUAACCAGAAAGCCACGGCUAACUACGUGCCAGCAGCCGCGGUAAUACGUAGGUGGCAAGCGUUGUCCGGAUUUAUUGGGCGUAAAGCGAGCGCAGGCGGUUUUUUAAGUCUGAUGUGAAAGCCUUCGGCUCAACCGAAGAAGUGCAUCGGAAACUGGGAAACUUGAGUGCAGAAGAGGACAGUGGAACUCCAUGUGUAGCGGUGAAAUGCGUAGAUAUAUGGAAGAACACCAGUGGCGAAGGCGGCUGUCUGGUCUGUAACUGACGCUGAGGCUCGAAAGUAUGGGUAGCAAACAGGAUUAGAUACCCUGGUAGUCCAUACCGUAAACGAUGAAUGCUAAGUGUUGGAGGGUUUCCGCCCUUCAGUGCUGCAGCUAACGCAUUAAGCAUUCCGCCUGGGGAGUACGGCCGCAAGGCUGAAACUCAAAGGAAUUGACGGGGGCCCGCACAAGCGGUGGAGCAUGUGGUUUAAUUCGAAGCUACGCGAAGAACCUUACCAGGUCUUGACAUACUAUGCAAAUCUAA
rnacentral:rRNA from 1 species